GAGGGUGUAGCUCAAAUGGUAGAGCCCAUGCUUAGCAUGCACGAGGUCCUGGGUUCAAUCCACAGUACCUCUC
rnacentral:tRNA from 1 species